rnacentral:sRNA from 1 species
UGUUUACAGCGUCAUGUUAUCGGUAUGCCACAUCAUGCUUGCAUGAAUGCGGCAUACCGAUGACAUGACGCGCCCCUCCAAUGAGGAAGGAGCGGGGCAGGGGCCCCGCGGAAUCCGAAUAGGAGGUCAGAUUGCGGGAAUGCGAAGCAUGGAGCAAUCUGAGUAAACA